AUGAACGCUGGCGGCGUGCCUAAUACAUGCAAGUCGAGCGAACAGAUGAGGAGCUUGCUCCUCUGACGUUAGCGGCGGACGGGUGAGUAACACGUGGAUAACCUACCUAUAAGACUGGGAUAACUUCGGGAAACCGGAGCUAAUACCGGAUAAUAUAUUGAACCGCAUGGUCCAAUAGUGAAAGACGGUUUUGCUGUCACUUAUAGAUGGAUCCGCGCCGCAUUAGCUAGUUGGUAAGGUAACGGCUUACCAAGGCAACGAUGCGUAGCCGACCUGAGAGGGUGAUCGGCCACACUGGAACUGAGACACGGUCCAGACUCCUACGGGAGGCAGCAGUAGGGAAUCUUCCGCAAUGGGCGAAAGCCUGACGGAGCAACGCCGCGUGAGUGAUGAAGGUCUUCGGAUCGUAAAACUCUGUUAUUAGGGAAGAACAAAUGUGUAAGUAACUAUGCACGUCUUGACGGUACCUAAUCAGAAAGCCACGGCUAACUACGUG
rnacentral:rRNA from 1 species